AGAGUUUGAUCCUGGCUCAGGAUGAACGCUGGCGGCGCGCCUAACACAUGCAAGUCGAACGGCACCCACCUUCGGGUGGAAGCGAGUGGCGAACGGCUGAGUAACACGUGGAGAACCUGCCCCCUCCCCCGGGAUAGCCGCCCGAAAGGACGGGUAAUACCGGAUACCCCGGGGUGCCGCAUGGCACCCCGGCUAAAGCCCCGACGGGAGGGGAUGGCUCCGCGGCCCAUCAGGUAGACGGCGGGGUGACGGCCCACCGUGCCGACAACGGGUAGCCGGGUUGAGAGACCGACCGGCCAGAUUGGGACUGAGACACGGCCCAGACUCCUACGGGAGGCAGCAGUGGGGAAUCUUGCGCAAUGGGGGGAACCCUGACGCAGCGACGCCGCGUGCGGGACGGAGGCCUUCGGGUCGUAAACCGCUUUCAGCAGGGAAGAGUCAAGACUGUACCUGCAGAAGAAGCCCCGGCUAACUACGUGCCAGCAGCCGCGGU
rnacentral:rRNA from 1 species